CUCAACUGAGGGAGGUGCGUCGAAACUGAUGGGCUAGAGGAACGCAGAGGGAGGUGGAACUCUCGGAGUAGCGGUGGAAUGCGUAGAUACCGAGAGGUACCCCGAUGGCGAAGGCAGCCUCCUGGGCGUUUCCUGACGCUGAAGCGCUAAGGCCAGGGGAGCAAAGGGGAUUAGAUACCCCCGUAGUCCUGGCUGCAAACGAUGUGAGUUAGGUAUCGGGCCCAUAAGAGGCUCGUUGCCGCAGCUAACGCGUUAAACUCACCGCCUGGGGAUUACGUCCGCAAGGAUGAAACUCAAGGGAAUUGACGGGGGCCCACACAACCGGUGGAGCACGUGGUUUAAUUCGAUGAUAAGCGAAGAACCUUACCAGGAUUUGACCUAACGGUAGUAGGACCCUGAAAGGGGAACGAUCCUAGACUUCGUCUAGGAAGCCG
rnacentral:rRNA from 1 species